rnacentral:rRNA from 1 species
CAGCCGCCGCGGGAAAACGAAGGGUGCAAGCGUUACUCGGAAUUACUGGGCGUAAAGCGUGCGUAGGUGGUGGUUUAAGUCCGUUGUGAAAGCCCUGGGCUCAACCUGGGAAUUGCAGUGGAUACUGGGUCACUAGAGUGUGGUAGAGGAUAGUGGAAUUUCCGGUGUAGCAGUGAAAUGCGUAGAGAUCGGAAGGAACAUCUGUGGCGAAGGCGACUAUCUGGGCCAACACUGACACUGAGGCACGAAAGCGUGGGGAGCAAACAGGAUUAGAUACCCCGGUAGUCCUGUCUCUUAUACA